ACUUUUCCAAGUAUUUGCUCACUUGCUGUUCAAAACUGCCACCCAUCUCCAUGGAUUAAUAAUUUAUGCUCUCCAAAUAGAAGAGGGAAGAGUCAGUGGACAAUGAAGUGUGUUUCCUAGAUAAUAUGUGGACCGAGAAAAUCAUUUAUGUGUCUGUGACACAGAAGUGGAAGUGAAACUGAGUUGGGAACCAAGGAGACGACU